UAAAGUGUCAUCUUUAAAGUAGCCCAAUAGCCGCGCAAAAGGAGCCAACUUAUUUUGAGAUUUUGGCCAUUAUUCCGAUUUACACCAAGCAACCUUAUAUAUAUAUGGGUUCACCUGCCUCUUACUUUACUGGGAAAUUAUUUCAUAACUUACCUCUCCUUUCCUAGCCCGAAUAAUGUCGGAUUCGACUAUCUUUCCUUUUAACUUAACUACUCAAUUAUCCAUCAUUGCUCAGUCAGCGGAAAGCAACGUAUCCAGUUCGAGCUCCAACUCAAGUGUAUCCGAAUCUUCUGCGGAAUCCCAUUUAUCUCAGUCAGCGGACAGCAACGUAUCCAGUUCGAGCUCCAACUCAAGUGUAUCCGAAUCUAUAGCUUCCAAUUCAUAUUUCGGAUCUAAUACAUCCGUGGAAUCUCAUUUAUCUGUUAAUUCUAAUUCGUCCUUGGAUAACCAAUCACCAGAGGAGUCUUAUUUAUCUGUGGAAUCAGACUCAUCUCCAACACCCAAUACCAGCGAAUCUUUUUCGGCCGGAGAAGCUUCAAACCAACUGCAGUCACCGCAAAGCAAUAGCUCCUUGAAUAUGAGCCACGAUGAAUCCCACUCUGUGGCUAACUGGUCUCUCUCGAAUGACGAUGCUCACUCGCAGAUCAGAUCACUUACCCAGGAUGUGGCCCAGAUGGAAGCAGAAUUGGAUAGCAUAAAUCGCUACUGCGAGGAAGUUGUAGCACAGAUUGAUACCUUACCCACGAGUACCUCAACGCCAACAGUAGUGCGUGGAAAUCGCCGCAGAAGUGCCAUGAAUCCAGUAGAAAUAAUAGAUCUGUCCCAUUUGGAGUUUGUACCACCGGUUCGAUCUGCUCGGAAUCGUGCGCCCGAUGCUGUCAUAGAUCUGUGCACUCCCGACGGGCCAAGAAGUCGCCCAGUCAAUCUUCCCUCCAACGACUCCUUCACCAUUCCUAGUCGUCGGCGCGUCUUGGCUCAGUCAACCGAAAAUUCCCCGGUAGUGGAUCUCGACGAUGUGUCGCCACCAAAACGCGUUUAUCGCGAUAUAGAUCUGUCCCAUAAAGAGGACUCAUACAAGUGCCCCGUCUGCAUGGACAGCGUAACGAAGCGCGAGCCAGUGUCAACCAAAUGUGGACACGUCUUCUGCCGGGAAUGUAUCCAAACAGCCAUCAGCGCUACGCACAAGUGUCCAAUGUGCAACAAGAAGCUAACUGCACGUCAAUUCUUUCGCAUUUACUUGUUUUUCGGCAACUAUUUCAUUUGUGAUAGAAGUCACCCAUCAUUAUAUGGAAUGCUCAGAAUUAUUAAAGCAUCGACACAACAGGCAAAUAAUAUAAAUUCAACGAGUGAAAAUAUGCCGUAGAUGGAACAUAAGAAAGAACUUCGCUAUUUUUAAGAUUGUAAAGAGUCUCUAUAAAGAGUGUUUGUCCUCAAGUUUGGAGAAUGUGGUGCCAAUUAAAUCCAGCGGGAUAAAUAAUGAUUAUAAGCAUAAAAGUACGAUUUUUGCUUAUAUUUGGAGUGAAAUGUUUCUACGAAUCUGAGGAUCUAGUCGAAUGGUUUGCUUUUUAUAUGGCGGUAAAGAACGUUUAAUAAUUAAUAAUUUAGAAACCCCUAAGUAUGCUAUGCAAAAUCUUUUUUUAACUAUGUAAAGUCAAUCAACACAGUA